UUUCUCUCCACCAACUGUUCACUCUUUCUAGAUCCAUCACUCCCUGCACCAGGUCACUCAGUAUACUCCCAUCGACAGUUAUUGAUACUGGGGCCUUGUUUUCCCAGAUCCUUCUGAUGAGAAGAGCGCGACACAAGUCAGCAAUUGCUGUUGCCACGUGCGGGUCUUAGGGAAGGUUUCUACAUGCCAGGCAGCAGCUAACCAUGUGCCUUUGAAUUGGUACAUCCCAAGCACUUACAAUUUUGGCAACAGGAUGCUGUGAGUGUGUGCCAAGCCCAAGGGAUGAGUGAGAGGAAGACAAACCCUGAAAGACUGCAGGGCUCCUGUGUCUGUCAUGAUAGUGAGAAGGGGAUGCUGGGAAGGGGGAAAUUCCAGAUCUCAUCAAUGAGUGAUUGUCAAUAGAGAUGAAGCCAGAAAGAGUCUGCAAAAGUUACAAAUAUAUUUUUCCUUUUUUCAAGUUGUCAUAAUGAUUGGCAGGCAUUGCCAACAUUUCAUGGGUAAAGUUUAGGGUGACACACUGCCAUCAUGAGUCAGUGCAAUGGUAAACUGAUCCAGAUCCUUCAUAUAUC